rnacentral:tRNA from 1 species
GCCUGGGUAGCUCAGUCGGUUGAGCGUCUGACUUUGGCUCAAGUCAUGAUCUCACAGUUCGUGGGUUCAAGCCCCGCGUUGGGCU